UUCAUGAAGCCGGAAUUGCUAGUAAUGGCAGGUCAGCAUACUGCCGUGAAUACGUUCCCGGGCCUUGUACACACCGCCCGUCACACCAUGAGAGUUGGGGAUACCCGAAGCCUGUGAGCUAACUAUUUAUAGGAGCAGCAGUCGAAGGUAGAAUCAAUGAUUGGGGUGAAGUCGUAACAAGGUAGC
rnacentral:rRNA from 1 species